rnacentral:rRNA from 1 species
AACGAACGCUGGCGGCGUGCUUAACACAUGCAAGUCGAACGCGAAAGUUUUCUUCGGAAAGCGAGUAGAGUGGCGCACGGGUGAGUAACGCGUAAGUAAUCUACCCUGGUAUCUGGGAUAACUCACCGAAAGGUGUGCUAAUACCGGAUACGCUGAGUAAUCAGGAAAGGUGGCCUCUUCAUGAAAGCUACUGUACCAGGAGGAGCUUGCGUACCAUUAGCUAGUUGGUAGGGUAAUGGCCUACCAAGGCAACGAUGGUUAGCGGGUCUGAGAGGAUGAUCCGCCACACUGGAACUGAAACACGGACCAGACUCCUACGGGAGGCAGCAGUGAGGAAUAUUGCGCAAUGGGGGAAACCCUGACGCAGCGACGCCGCGUGGAUGAUGAAGGC